rnacentral:rRNA from 1 species
CGUAGGAGGCAAGCGUUAUCCGGAAUCACUGGGCGUAAAGCGUGCGUAGGGGGGAGUUUAAGUGAGAUGUUAAAUCGUGUGGCUCAACCAUAUCGAUGCAUCUCAUACUGGACACCUAGAGGAAGGCAGAGGCAAGUGGAAUUUGUAGUGUAGCAGUGAAAUGCGUAGAUAUUACAAGGAACACCAAUGGCGAAGGCAGCUUGCUGGGUCUUUUCUGACGCUGAGGUACGAAAGCGUGGGGAGCGAACAGGAUUAGAUACCCUGGUAGUCCACGCCGUAAACGAUGCAUACUAGUCUUAUGGGGUAUCGACCCCCUGUGAGACGAAGCUAACGCGAUAAGUAUGCCGCCUGGGAAGUACGGCCGCAAGGCUA